UGAAUCUGAUGUAAUCUGAAUAUUUCAAUCGACAGUUCAGGCAUUUAAGUGGCACCGAAAUUUGCGUUCUGAUUUGGUCCAGUACAUACCGGUCCUAUAGGUACCGGUGUCAUAUUAGCACCGGGUUUCGGUACCCAACCCUACUGAGGACCAAGGUGGAGCUGGCGGGAGGAAAGAGCUCAACGGAGCUGGUGGGAUGGAGUGACUAGGCGCAGCCAGUGGAGAAGAGUCCAGAGGCGAUGGCGGGUUGACGCCCGACCAAGGCAGAGCCGGAGGGACGAGGGAGCCCGGUGGAGCUGAUGGAUUCAUGGUUGACGGUGGAGGUAAGGGAGCUAAGAGCCGAAGUGGAGCCGCUGGGACUACGGGCCGAGGUGGAGUCCAGGCCUCGAGGCUGGAGGCGGAGGUGAGGGAGACUCAGACCAUGGCGACGCUGGAGGAUGGCAGUACCGUGGGACUGGCACUUCAUAGAUGGUGGGCUGAGGGCGAGCAGAGGGGCUGCCAGACAACAGUGGUGGAGGAGGCAGGAGCGGGUGGAGGAGGCAGGAGCGGGUGGGAGGGCGGGCAUUUUGGAGGAGCGGCCACUGGAGAGCACAUUCUAGGAGCUGGCACUGGAGGACACAUUCUAGGAGCAGGCACUGGAGAAUCGAAAGCCCUCUCAGGGCUGGACAAGGAAACCAAGGAUGAAGGAGGGCUGGACAGGACCAGUGGAGAAGACGGAGAGAGGAGAAGGGGCAGUUCAAUUUCCAGUUCCGAUUCCCAGUCAAUAAGAUCCUUCUCCUCAUUUUGGGCCUUUUGGUGUUCCAUAGUCCACUCACCCUCAGCCUCGGUGCAGGGGGUGGAGCUCCAGUCCAUGCUCACACCAUCCGUGGCUCUCUCACUCGUGGUGGGCACUGUCACUGGCUCUCGCACCUGGUCUGACGGGUUGGGCUCUGGCUCUCCAUCAUCGGUGGGCUCGGGCUUAUGCUCCAUACCGUGGGGAGAUGGCGGGCUGGGCUCUGAGUCUGGAGUGGAUCCGUCGAGAUCCUCCACGGGGCAGAUGGUAAGAGACGACCCAUUUCUCGCCAGAGUCCACUCCACAAAGGUGGCGAAUUCCUCCCGAGGACCAUCUUCGGAUGACAACGCUCUGCACUCUGCAUUCAGGCUCGCGUCAUAGAAAGCGGUAUGGUAUGGUCCUCAAGAGUAAGA
ensembl:lncRNA